rnacentral:rRNA from 1 species
UACGUAGGGCGCGAGCGUUGUCCGGAAUUAUUGGGCGUAAAGAGCUCGUAGGUGGCUUGUCACGUCUGCCGUGAAAGCCCCGAGGCUUAACCUCGGGUCUGCAGUCGAUACGGGCUAGCUAGAGUGUGGUAGGGGAGAUCGGAAUUCCUGGUGUAGCGGUGAAAUGCGCAGAUAUCAGGAGGAACACCGGUGGCGAAGGCGGAUCUCUGGGCCAUUACUGACGCUGAGGAGCGAAAGCGUGGGGAGCGAACAGG